rnacentral:rRNA from 1 species
AUUGAACGCUGGCGGCAGGCCUAACACAUGCACGUCGAACGAGUGGCGGACGGGUGAGUAAUGUCUGGGAAACUGCCUGAUGGAGGGGGAUAACUACUGGAAACGGUAGCUAAUACCGCAUACCAUCAGAUGUGCCCAGAUGGGAUUAGCUAGUCGGUGGGGUAACGCCUCAACCAGGCGGCGAUCCCUAGCUGGUAUGAGAGGAUGACCAUCCACACUGGAAAUGUGACACGGUCCAGACUCCGACGGGAGGCAGCAGUGGGGAAUAUUGCACAAUGGGCGCAAGCCUGAUGCAGCCAUGCCGCGUGUAUGAAGAAGGCCUUCGGGUUGUAAAGUACUUUCAGCGGGGAGGCGUUACCCGCAGAAGAAGCACCGGCUAACUCCGUGCCAGCAGCCGCGGUAAUAC